GACGAACGCUGGCGGCGUGCUUAACACAUGCAAGUCGAACGGAAAGGCCCUGCUUUUGUGGGGUGCUCGAGUGGCGAACGGGUGAGUAACACGUGAGUAACCUGCCCUUGACUUUGGGAUAACUUCAGGAAACUGGGGCUAAUACCGGAUAGGAGCUCCUGCUGCAUGGUGGGGGUUGGAAAGUUUCGGCGGUUGGGGAUGGACUCGCGGCUUAUCAGCUUGUUGGUGGGGUAGUGGCUUACCAAGGCUUUGACGGGUAGCCGGCCUGAGAGGGUGACCGGCCACAUGGGGCCUGAGAUACGGCCCAGACUCUUACGGGAGGCAGCAGUGGGGAAUAUGGCCCAAUGGGCGAAAGCCUGAUGAAGCAACGCGGCGUGCGGAUGACGGCCUUCGGGUUGUAAACCGCUUUCGCCUGUGACGAAGCGUGAGUGACGGUAAUGGGUAAAGAAGCACCGGCUAACUACGUG
rnacentral:rRNA from 1 species